GAUGAACGCUGGCGGCGUGCCUAAUACAUGCAAGUCGAGCGAACAGACGAGGAGCUUGCUCCUCUGACGUUAGCGGCGGACGGGUGAGUAACACGUGGAUAACCUACCUAUAAGACUGGGAUAACUUCGGGAAACCGGAGCAAAUACCGGAUAAUAUAUUGAACCGCAUGGUUCAUUGGUAAAAGACGGUUUUGCUGUCACUUAUAGAGGGAUCCGCGCCGCAUUAGCUAGUUGGUAAGGUAACGGCUUACCAAGGCGACGAUGCGUAGCCGACCUGAGAGGGUGAUCGGCCACACUGGAACUGAGACACGGUCCAGACUCCUACGGGAGGCAGCAGUAGGGAAUCUUCCGCAAUGGGCGAAAGCCUGACGGAGCAACGCCGCGUGAGUGAUGAAGGUCUUCGGAUCGUAAAACUCUGUUAUUAGGGAAGAACAAAUGUGUAAGUAACUAUGCACGUCUUGACGGUACCUAAUCAGAAAGCCACGGCUAACUACGUG
rnacentral:rRNA from 1 species